rnacentral:rRNA from 1 species
UAAUUCGAGACGUCCAGGCUUAGGAUGCAUCAGGGUAUGGCACUCGCUGACCUCGUCGGUCUCGGGAGCAUACGAUUUCCAUGACCAGUCUAUGACGACGCGUGAGGUAGAAGCUUCGGUCUGUAACUAUGUUUAGAGAAUGUGGCAAGUUACCUGUUCGCGUGACGGAUCUACCAAAAGCACGCUUAAAUCUGCCACAGCCGCGGGAUAUAGUGAGUGCAACGCUAUAUCGAGUUUUUGGGGCGAAACGAGAGCGCGCGCGGUUUUAGUUGAAUGAAAAGCUUGCGUUACACGAGAGACGCGCAUGGGAAUGGGGAAAUGAGUGCAGAGAGAGACAGGGAUCCACGUGUAGCGCUGAGAUGUGUAUAUAUAUGGAAAACACAACUGGGAGAAGGCGUGUGUGGUGUGUAUAAGACACUGAGAGUCUAAAGCACGGGAGAGAGCACGAUAAUAUACCCCUUAGUGCACACGCUGUACGAUAAAACUAUAAGUGUGAGAGUGUUUGCCCCUCACAGUGGCAGAGAUCACGCUAUGCAUUCUCCGCGGGGAGUGUACGACCACGGGGUAAUCUAAAGAGAAGACGGGGGGCCGCGCACGCGGGGGGCACAUGGGGUAAAUUUAAGAGACGCGAGGAGCACUUUCACGUGUUGACAUAUUUUGUUCACACGUGAGAUCAGGGGUUUCCCUUUGGGGGAAAAAAACACAGGGGGCACGGUGGUGUUCACAUCUUGUGUUGAGAGAUUGGGGUAAAUCUCCCAAAGAGAGCAACCCCUAUGAUUAUUUUCCCCCACUUACUUGGGCACUCUAUUAAGAGAGCCGGGGAGAAAACGGAGGGGGGGGGGGGGGAGGUGAAAAAAUCACGCCCCCUAUGACACGGGGGACACACAUGUGACAAAGGAGGGGGCAAAGAGAGUCGAGAAAGCGAGGGGAAGAUAAUAUCUUAAAAACCCUUUCACAUUUGAGAGUAGGGGGCAAAUCUCGCACACAAAAUGUGAAUAUCUAGUAAUAUCGGGGCAGCACGCCGCGGGGAGAAUAUUUUCCGGCGCUGUACACACCCCCCCUCUCACCCCGAGAGUUUUAACACCCGAAACCGGUGGGGGGAACCUUUUUGGGAGCGAGCCGUCUAAGGUGGGACAAAUGAUUAGGGUGAAGUUCG